GUUGUUGUGAAGGUGUUCUGUUGUUGUUGUGAAGGUGUUCUGUUGUUGUUGUGAAGGUGUUCUGUUGUUGUUGUGAAGGUGUUCUGUUGUUGUGAAGGUGUUCUGUUGUUGUUGUGAAGGUGUUCUGUUGUUGUUGUGAAGGUGUUCUGUUGUUGUGAAGGUGUUCUGUUGUUGUGAAGGUGUUCUGUUGUUGUGAAGGUGUUCUGUUGUUGUGAAGGUGUUCUGUUGUUGUGAAGGUGUUCUGUUGUUGUUGUGAAGGUGUUCUGUUGUUGUUGUGAAGGUGUUCUGUUGUUGUGAAGGUGUUCUGUUGUUGUUGUGAAGGUGUUCUGUUGUUGUUGUGAAGGUGUUCUGUUGUUGUUGUGAAGGUGUUCUGUUGUUGUUGUGAAGGUGUUCUGUUGUUGUGAAGGUGUUCUGUUGUUGUUGUGAAGGUGUUCUGUUGUUGUUGUGAAGGUGUUCUGUUGUUGUGAAGGUGUUCUGUUGUUGUUGUGAAGGUGUUCUGUUGUUGUUGUGAAGGUGUUCUGUUGUUGUUGUGAAGGUGUUCUGUUGUUGUUGUGAAGGUGUUCUGUUGUUGUUGUGAAGGUGUUCUGUUGUUGUGAAGGUGUUCUGUUGUUGUUGUGAAGGUGUUCUGUUGUUGUUGUGAAGGUGUUCUGUUGUUGUUUUGAAGGUGUUCUGUUGUUGUUGUGAAGGUGUUCUGUUGUUGUGAAGGUGUUCUGUUGUUGUUGUGAAGGUGUUCUGUUGUUGUGAAGGUGUUCUGUUGUUGUGAAGGUGUUCUAGGUUACGUGAUAAAGGUUGUUGUUGUUGUUGUGAAGGUGGCGUUCUGUGAUUCGUCGAUUGGAUUCCUGGUGACGUCUGGGUCGGUGGUGCUGGAUCUGAAAAAGGGAGACGAGGUGUCUCUACAGCCCACAGAAAACAACGCUAUCAUCACUAAAGACGAACGAGCUGACAACACCUUCACCGGCUUCCUGAUCUUGCCCAGCUCAUAGAACCACACAGAACCUUCACCGGCCACACAGAACCACACAGAACCACACAGAACCUUCACCGGCCACACAGAACCACACAGAACCACACAGAACCACUUUGAAUGAGCUCAAACCAGAUUCAACCAGAUCUAAUCUUGGUUGCCUAAGAAGUAACAUUUUGUCACUUCCUGUUUUACUUCAAUUUAGAAUUUGUAGGUGUGGUAUCUAGCGGAAACCUUUUAUCAUCCGCACGCGGGUUUGAAAUCUCAGCCCCAGUUUAAUCACCGCUUUCGCCCAAUCCUGAUUCUAUCAAAUAAUCAAUGAUGAAAACCCCAAACCAGGAACUACUGCUGCUCGUAAUCACAUCAUUCUACGUGAGCCUUGACAGAUGGUUGCCGUUUACACGCAGAAUCUGUCCGCGAGAGAUUAAACCAGAUCCCACCUGCUGAAACCAGCUUCCUGCUCUUCCACACCACAUAAAAUACAUAUCAUAGCCACCUCAUUCUGCUCUAGAAGCAUCUGCAGCACAACCAACCAUCUCUGUGUCUGCCUCCCUGUCUAUACUGCUAAUAAAAUACAUAUCAUAGCCACCUCGUUCUGCUCUAGAAGCAUCUGCAGCACAGCCAACCAUCUCCGUGUCUGUGUCUGCCUCCCUGUCUGUACUGCUGCUGCUGCUUGCUGAGACAGUUCAUCAAUCAAUCAAUCAAUUAAUUAAUUCAUUUCCCCAGGUCGUUGUUGUAAAUGAGAACAUAUUCUCAGUCAACUCACCUGAUAAAAAAUAAGGAAUACAUUUAAAAUAAAUCAAAUAAUCAAUCAUGUAUUGCAUCUGCAUCUGCUGAGCUGCCUACCAAAACUAAAAGAUAUCAUUUUGGAAAUGAAUUUUCAAUCAAUAAAGUGAUUUGUUACCA